UGAGCAUAGCAUUUCUAGCUCUUUCUUCCUUUAAAACAAAGCUCAUUGCCUACCUUUUUCCCAUUCACAAACACCAUACCUUUUCACCUUUCUUUGUUUUAUCUCCUCCCAAUCUCCAACAAUAACAUUUAGCUCGCUAGCUAGCUUCACUGUUUUUUAUUUGAAUCUUCUUUUCAAUGUUUUCUGAAUCUUCUCUGUUUGGUUUAGUUGAGGAUUUUGGUGGCUUUGGAUUUCUUCGCUGCAGAGUUUUUUCACCGGCAAUAUUUUUAUCACCUACAACUCCAAUUGGAAUCACAAUUGAACUUGGUAUAUCCCAUUCUAAUGGUUAUGAGGAGAAUAGCCAAACAGCGUAAUUGUUGAACAGUUUUAAUUCAGCCUCAGCUGAAAUUUUAUACAUAUGGCAUCGGUUGAUCUUCAUGCGACUGAUUUUAUGAAGUCAAAACAAGCUAAUGGGAAUAUUCAACUUCGAGUUAAUCUUUUUCUUUUUCUUUUUGGUUGGUUUUUUCUUAAUAUAAUUUUUCAACCACAAAAUUUCAUUAAUUAGAUUUUAUUUUACAAUCUUUUGCUUUCUUCUACUACUCAUUUCACUUGCCUUUGGACUUGAAGAAGAAAAUAAUGACAAAUCUUGUUUUAUUUUAUUCUUUAGCUGCAUUAUUCCAAAUGACAGUGGCUGUGAUUUUAUAUUUUAGAGCAAAAGAUUUGUCUUUAAUUUCUUCCUCGGACAUAUUGUGCAAAGGCAACUGAAGAGAGUAGCAGCAGAAGAAAGCAAAAGACUGUAAAAAAAAUCUAUUGGAAAUUUUCAUGGUCAGAAAAUUAUAUAUUAAGAAUUGUAAACGAGCACCACCAAGAAGAGAAAAACAUUAACUCAAGUUUAAGUUUUCUAUUGGCUUGUAUUUUAUGGGUUCGUAAAAUCAGCACCAAAGAAGAUUAACCAAUGCCGUAUAUCAACAUUUCAGCUGAGUCUGCAUUAAAAACCCUUCAACAAUUAUAGCUUUGGGGCCAUUCUCACCAUAGCCUUAGAAUUCGAUACAUCAAUCUCGAUUGCAAUUCCUACUGGAGUUGUAAGUGAGAAAAAUAUUGCCCUAAAUUUUGCAUGGACAAACCCAAAUUAAACAAAUAAAUAAAUUAUUUUUCUUUUGAUAUCUAA